UUGAACUUGGGAGGUGGAGGUUGCAGUGAGCCGAGAUCGCGCCACUGCACUCCAGAGUAGGCGACAGAGCAAGACAGAAAAGACUCUGUAUCUACAGUCUUGUUCCUAGACACCCUUCCUGUCUUAUCUCCUAUUAUGUCCCAUCACUAUACAUGCUGUUCUCCAAAGACAUUAUUCUUGCAUUAUUCUUUGCUGUUCCCAAGCCUGAAAUACCCUCUCAUUACUGGCUUCUCAAAUUCUAUUCAGAGCCCAAUUCAAAUGCCUUCUUAAAUGUGGAGCUCUCCCAAACCCUGAAAUAAAUGUCAAUGGUCUCUCUUCAAUGUCUGAAACGCUUCAUUAGGUAGACACAGAUAAUUGGUUCAUUAACUAUUUAUAAAGUGUGCAUAUACGCUAUAUGUACUUUUCUGAAUAUGAAUUAUAUAUAACAAUAAGUAGUAUUUAAAUAAAAGUUAUACUUUUGCAGCCUAAUCAAGCUCAGUAUUAUCUUGACCUACUUUACCCACUAAACUCUUUAAAGGCCCAUUUGUGGUCAUCUUUACUUUUUUCAAUAUGCCAUAUAUAUAACCAUUCAAUAAUUAGUCUGAUAAAUACUCUCUUUACGGAGUUGACCAUAUGAAGACCAUCUCGGUUAUACUAAAGUAUAUAGAACUACAUACACACACAAACACACAAAUGAGUUAACGUAUAAAUCUGAACAAGCUCUGUGGAUUGUACCCAUGUCCAUUUUCUCACUUUGUUAUUGUACUGUAGUUAUGCAAGAUGUCCAACAGUGGGGGAAGUUGGGGAAAGGGUACACAGUGGAGGAUGCGUGGGACCUCCCUGUACAUCACCCUGCAACUUCCUGUGAGUCUAUAAUUAUUUCAGAAUAAAAAGAUGUUUUUAGAGAAAUGGUUAUUCUUGCUAGUAGUAAAACAGUACAAUAUGCUAACAAUAUGCAAUAUGUAAUGAAAGAUUCUAAGGAUGUUAUAUUCUUUAAUCUAAUAAACUUACUUCUACAAAUUUAUCCUCAGUGUUUACUUGGACACAAGCCCCAAAGAUAGAUGCAGGUAGUCCAUCACAGCUUAUAUGUGUAUAUAACAGAAAACAAACUAUCCAGUAGUAGGAGACUGGCCCAACAAAUGAGGGUAUAUCUAAAAAGUAAAAUACUAUGCAAAUCUUCAGACUGAUAAUGUAUGAGGUAGAAAGUUAUUUGUUACAUGAUUUAAGAAAUGAUUCCAAGAUAGGUAUAGCAUCUGAUUUUUAAAGAUAUGUAGUACAGGCAUCUAUGUGUUAUAGAUGCAUAGAAAAAUGCCUAGUUCAAUGCCAAAUUUUAGGAAUUAUCUCGGGUUGGUGAAAUUAAGGGUUUGUUUUCGUUUUCAGAGAUGGGGUCUCCUUUUUUAGCGCCAUCUGCUCACAGCGCUGCCUCUUGCUCCUCCCACCACCACUGCUACCCUGAGUCACUGCCUGCACAGCUCCACCCGCCUGGCUCCCCAUAGUAGCCUCUGAUAUUUGAGUUCUUACAACAUGGCAGACAUUGACAACCUGCCUAGCUAGGGUAGUUAAAAGAGGAGUGAAUACUCUCAAAAACCUGCAUAAGUGCACAGAUAGAAGCCAAAUUAUAUGAGGAAGUUCACAAUCUUGAAAGAAAGUAUGCUGUUCUCUAUCAGCCUCUAUUUGAUAAGCAAUUUAUGAUUAUUAAUGCAAUUUAUGAACCUGCGGAGGAAGAAUGUGAAUGGAAACCAGAUGAAGAAGAUGAGAUUUCAGAGGAGUUGAAAGAAAAGGCCAAGACUGAAGAUGAGAAAAAGGAUGAAGAAAAAGAAGACCCCCAAAGGAAUUCCUGAAUUUUGGUUACCUGUUUCUAAGAAUGUUGACUUACUCAGUUAUAUGCUUCAGGAACAUGAUGAAUCUAUUCUGAAGCAUUUCAAAGAUACUAAAGUGAAGUUCUCAGAUGCUGGCCAGCCGAAGAGUUUUGUCUUAGAAUUUCACUUUGAACCCAGUGAAUAUUUUACACAUGAAGUGCUGACAAAGACAUGUAGGAUGAGGUUAGAACCAGAACCAGAUAAUUCUGAUCCCUUUUCUUUUGAUGGACCAGAAAUUAUGGGUUGUACAGGGGGCCAGAUAGAUUGGAAAAAAGGAAAGAAUGUCACUUUGAAAACAUUAAGAAGCAGAAACACAAGGUACAUGGGACAAUUCGUACUGUGACCAAAACAGUUUCCAAUGACUCUUUCUUUAAUUUUCUUGCCCCUCCUGAAGUUCCUGAGAGUGGAGAUCUGGAUGAUGCUGCUGAAGCUAUCCUUGCUGCAGACUUCAAAACUGGUCACUUUUUAUGUAAGCAUAUAAUCCCAAGAUCAGUGUUAUAGUUUACUGGAGGAGUUACUGAAGAUGAUGAUGAUGAGUAUGGUGAAGAAGGUGAAGAAGCUGAUGAGGAAGGGGUAGAUGAAGGAGAUGAGGGAAAUGAUCCAGACUAUGAACCGAAGAAGGAUCAAAACCCAGCAGAAUGCAAGCAGCAGUGAAGCAGGAUAUAUGUGGCCUUGAGGAUAACCUGCACUGUAAUAGCCUAAACACAACUCUUACUUACUGCCUUAUGUUUUUGUAUUUUCUUGGUAGACUAGGUAAUUUUUGUUUUAAAGGAUAGGAAACUGAUAUUUUAAAGACCAAUUUGUUCUAGCUAGCAUUUUCACUAGUUUUUCUGCCAGAUAUGUUGAAUGCACAAAUUCUGUCACACAUGUUCAUUCAUUGCUAAUAAUUUGGUUCUUCUGGAAUCUUUUUAUGUAGCUCUUGGAGUACAGCUAUGAAAAUUAACAACUGUUAAAGGAAACACUUUUUUUCUUUUUCCAAAAUUUUUUCCUUGAGGAAGCAAAGUAUUUUUUCAGCUGUCUGUUGAAUAGGGUUAAGUCUGCUUGGAUUAGCUGUGCCUUUCAUUACUUUGUUACAGAAAUGCAGGGACUUAUACUAAGACAAUUCAUCAUUUUGCAGGGACUUAUACUAAGACCAAUUCAUCGUUUAAAAAAAAAAAAAAACUGGC